UACGUAGGGUGCAAGCGUUGUCCGGAAUACUGGGCGUAAAGCGUGCGCAGGCGGUUAUGUAAGACAGUUGUGAAAUCCCUCGGCUCAACCGGGGGAACUGCGUCUGAUACUGGGUGGCUUGAAUUCGGGAGAGGGGAUGCGGAAUUCCAGGUGUAGCGGUGAAAUGCGUAGAUAUCUGGAGGAACACCGGUGGCGAAGGCGGCAUCCUGGACCAACACUGACGCUGAGGAGCGAAAAGCCCAGGGGGAGCAAAACGGGG
rnacentral:rRNA from 1 species